UUUUUUUUUUGUUUUUGUUUUUUUUGGUGUGUGUGUUUUUAAGGGACUCACCCCUGGCAAAUGAAGGUUCCCAAGCUACAGGUCAAAUUGGAGCCAUAGCCCUUGGCCUGUACCACAACCACAGCAACACCAGAUCCAAGCCUCGUCUGUGACCUACACCACAGUUCACAGCAACACCAGAUCCUUAACCCACUGAGCGAGGUCAGGGAUUGAACCUGUGUCCUCAUAGUUACUAGUUAGAUUCGUUUCUACUGAGCCACGACGGGAACUCCUUUAGGAUAAUCACUUUUUUUUUUUUUUUUUUUCUGUCUUUUUGCUAUUUCUUGGGCCGCUCCCGCGGCAUAUGGAGGAUAGUGUGAAAAAAAAAUCAUGUAUGUGGAUGUAUGGCUGGGUCACUUUGGUGUGCAGUGGGAAUUGACAGAACAUUGUAAAACAUCUAUUAGAAAACAAUUUUUAAAAAUCGCAAUCUCGAAGCUACUAAUGGCAAAGCCAGGAUUUGAACCCAGACAGGCUGGCUGGAGGCCCCAUUUGCACCCCUAAAUACCAAGGAAUGCUGCCUUUCCAACAUACCCAAGGUGAUUUAGCCCCUGGGCCUCGAUAAAGGAGAUGGGUUAGACUAGGCAAUCUGAGCAAUGGAGGAAAAUGUGACUCACUCCGUGAAAACUGACUCUAAAUGAAGAACAAGCCAGGUAUCAAAUGGCCGCAGUGGAGCAGAAACUGAUCAAGAUGAGAGGGACAAAUUAGCUCCACAGCCUCACCGUCCACCUCCCCAAGGGCAUGGCUCAGCUGGGAACAGGCUUCAUAAUCAUACCACUUCUGAAGCUCAUACACGCAGGUAGAGCCUGUGAGAGCCCCCAGGGGGCUGGAGUGAUGGCUGGGUAACUCACUGGGUGAUUUCCCUCUCACUGCUAUCAUUCUGGGGGUCCCCUGAUAUUAAAAGGCAACUACUGGGGGGAGAACCACUUUUAACAAUACAAUGAUUUACACAUCUGCCUUCUAUCCCUCUAAGCCAUCCCCUGAUUUCCUCCACCUCUAACACAAUGAGCAAUUUGCUCUCCAGAAAACAAAGAUGACAGAAAUCAAGCUAGAAACAGAGAGAUGCUAUCACAGCCGACUCAGAGUGACAUUUGUACCCUCCUCUUAUCUCAAAACCUGCAUUGGCCGACAUCGAGUCUGCUCUUAGACAUCACUUAACAAAAGAUUUCAAAAACUUUAGGAACAAUUUAUUUAAAGAAAACUCCAUUUCCAGGAUCCUAGGACUGUAUUCCAAGGUAAUAAAAUAUAAAUGAGAAUAAAGGACAAGCUAAUAAACUGAAUUGAAGGCUGCAUUUCAAUAAUGAGGUUUGGGAACCAUUUACUAGCCACGUGCAUCUCACUCUCAUGACUUAUAAUAUCGGCUGAAUUACUUAACAGAAACGAAAACCCCUGCUGUGUCUGUUAUCCGAUGCAGAUGCUUUUUGGAGCUGAACAAUGUGACAUUUGCUUCAGAGUGCUUGCAUCUAAUCAAUACGUAAUGUUAAAUGUGAUUUAAGAUCAAUUUAAUUGUACUUUGGCUUGCCCAUGAGUGAAGGGGGAAACAAAGGUAACAUCUGAGAUACGAAACCAUUCAACUAUUUCCCAAAGAAGGCAUACAUCUCUUGCUUCUUAUGGAGUCCAAGAUGCAGAUACAGUUGGUUCAUCCUACAAAAACUUCACAUCAAGGAAAAGAACUGUACUGAAGCAGUUAGGAUAUGGUGUCCUAAAAGGUAUCUGUGAACUGUCUUUCUUUUCCUUCAAACCAUUUUACUACUGAAAGCUUCUUUGCUUGGUGUGAAAAAUUUCCCCAAAUUAUAGGAAAUUUAAAAAGAAAAAAUGCAUAAUAAUAUAUGUAUUACAUAUAUUUAAUUUACCAUUAUAUUAUAUAUGUCCUAAAUAUAAGGAUUCCUAUAUACAAUACUUGUUAGCCUGUGUAUUUUCUGUAUAUAAUUUGUAGCAAUUACAUAUACACACAUAGACCUAACCUUGAAUGUUGAUAGUGGUCUGUUGUUAAUGGUGGUACCUGUAGCAUCCACCUGACAAAUAAUUAGUGACUCCCAGCCCUGUGCUAGGUUUUGCUAUUUACACCCAAGGAAAAUGAGGCUCUGAGGAAUUUUAAAAGCAGUAAAUUCAGGACUCAAAUAUCUGAUGAUGCAAUAGGGUCUAGAGACUCUACUUUGUAUAAGGAUCUUUAUACAAGCAAAACAGCUGGUAAUUUUCACCUCAAUUUCAGUGCAAAUUUCAAGUGUCCUACUUAUAAAAAUACAUAUUAAUUAAGCCAAUUGACUGUGGUUAACAUAGAUACAGUCUCUGAGUAGUAACUAUUUUUUUCCUGCCUGCAUUCAAACCACUGUGCAGUCACAGUACUUAAAGAACAGAAAUUUUAAUGGCUUCUAGCAGUGAGAAUAGCCCCUACACAACAUACCCACAAAAUCUGCCCUUUUUAAAACUUGAACUUACAAAAUUAUGAAAUAACAAAGGUAUAUUACAAGACCACCUAAAGUGCAGGUUGAAGUUAAUUUGGACAGAAAUAUUGUGUUUUAUAAGAUUUGUAAAUUUGUAAAGUAAAAAAAAAAAGGAGUUCACAAGAAUAUCCUCCAUUUUAUGGUUUAUGUGUUGGAACAGAGACAAAAUGACACAACUUUCCUAAACUUAGAAUUUAAAAAUGUCUUCAGAAGUUGUCACAGUUUGAACAAGGAAAAUAUUAAGGUGCAUCAAAAAUGUCUAGAAAAAAAUUCAGCUUUAAGUAUAUUCUUACAGAUGGUCCCAAAUUAUUGUUCCUUCUUGAUGAAACUUUCUGACUAAAUUGGGUUUAUAUCAGGCAACAAGUAAAUAAGCUGACAGAUGUUAUGUAUGUGAUAAUUCCUCUUUUAACUUUUACCAAAAUACCUUUAUAGGUUUAAAGGUGGUUCAUUAUGUCCUAAAUAAGGAUCUAGAGUUUUGCCAUCCAACAGAGGAGCCACCGGUCCCAUGUCAUUAUUGCACACAUUGUAUGUGGCCAGUCCAUAUCAUGUGCAAUAAGUGUAAAAUACAUACGGGAUUUCAAAGACUCACCACAGGAAAAAAAAAAUAUAAAGUAUCUCAUUAAUGUUUUAUACUGACUACACAUUUAAGUAUUUUCUAUAUAGUGCAUUAAAUUAACUACAUUAAAAUUAAAUUCAUCUAUUUACCUUUUUACUUUUAAAAUUAGAAAAUUUUAAAAUUAUAUUUGUGACUUGCAUUAUAUUUCUGUUGACUAUUACUAGUACAGAGGGUAAAAAGCCAAAAAAAAAAAAAAAAAAAAGAUGAUGAGCUCCCAUUUCUGGCUAAGAACUUUUUUCUUUAAUAUGUUAAAUUACCAGUUACAUUUUUUUCAGAUUAAAUGUGCACACUUUAACACAGAACAUAUUCUGACAGAUCUGACACAAAACAUGAAAAACGUGUGCUUUCUAUCAUAAUGAUUAUUUUUCAGAUAACAACAGCUGUUUGCCUAUACAAGCUAGAGACUGUUUCCCACAUACCACCAAGCACUAGCAUUCAAUCAUGGAAGAAAAAUAAUUCUCCAUGGGCUUUUCCCACAUGCUGUACAUCAGCAACAAGCUGUGAAUUCGUAUGGACUCUGAAAAUCUGAACUGAGUUGGAGCUGCUGCCUGGCUGACUGCUUUGCCAUUUCUCUCCUAAUACAGCAAAUACAAAGUGCUUACACUGGGCUGACUCAGUGUAAUUGAAGUAAGCCCUGUUCAAAACCCUCACCAGAUAGGUGAGCAUCAUUUCUGCUCUUUCUUACUCACAAAGGAGAUUUAGAAGAUAUCCAUCUCUUGGUGGAAUACAAAAACCCUGGAUAAAAGUCAACUGUUAAAGGAGUUCCCAUCAUGGUGCAGUGCAAACAAAUCUGACUAGGAACAUGAGAUUGCAGGUUCGAUUCCUGGUCUCUCUCAGUGGGUUAAGGAUCCGGCAUUGCUGUGAGCUGUGGUAUAGGUCACAGACGCAUCUCGGACCCUGUGUUGCUGUGACUGUGGUUGUGGCAUGGGCCAGCAGCUGUAGCUCCAAUUGCACCCCUAGCCUGGGAACCUCCAUAUGCAUGGGUGUGCCCCCCCCCCCAAAAGUCAACCAUUAAAGAACAUAGUCUUUGUUUUAUGACACUUAGGAACAGCUUGAAAGUCACUAAUCUCAAGAUCCCAUCGAUCACACACUGUGUGGUCAAGAACCACCUCAGCUCCCUCUCAAAAGCUAAUUAGAUCUGUGCUGUCCAAAAUAGAAGCCAAGAGCCAUGUGUGACUAUUUAAAUGUAAAUGACCAAAAAUGAGGAAUUCAGUUCCUUAGUCCUAGCAGCUACACAUCAAGUGCUCCAUCACCACCUGUGGUUAGUAGCUACUAUAUAGGUCAGUGUAUAAUAUUUGCAUCAUUGAGGAAAGUUCUAUAGGACAGUGUCAAAUUAGAUGACACACAAGUUAGGAAUCCACAAAACUUAAAAAGAAAGAAGUAGGUUGGAGAGAGGCAUGUGACUUGAAUGCAAACUAAGGGACUAUUUUAAAACAAAACAUACCCCAUCAUUGCAGUUACAUUAUGUCAAACCAACUUUUCAUUGUUAGUCUGGCGAGCUCAUGUGCUAUGCCUAGAGAUGGAGACAGUGAAGUACCUGGACAGAAAUUUCAUUUAUAUAUACGGGUUUGAUACUUGCCAUGGCCACACUAAGACUAAAGCUUAGGCAAAAAUAUUAGCUACUGAUGAAUUCCAUCUUG
rnacentral:lncRNA from 1 species